GUUUAUCAAAAACAUGUCUUUUAGAAUUGAAUUUAAAGUCUAACCUGCCCACUGAAUUAAUUUAAAUGGCCGCAGUAUUUUAACUGUGCAAAGGUAGCAUAAUCAUUAGUCUUUUAAUUGAAGGCUGGAAUGAAUGGUUGAAUGAAGUAUUAACUGUUUCAUUUAAAUUUGUAAUAAAAUUUUAUUUUUUAGUCAAAAAGCUAAAAUAAAAUUAAAAGACGAGAAGACCCUAUAAAUCUUUAUAUUUUAUUGGGGUGAUAUUAAAAUUUAAAAAACUUUUAAUUUAUAAUUUACAUAAAUUAAUGAUUUAUUGAUCCAUAUAUAAUGAUUAAAAAAUUAAGUUACUUUAGGGAUAACAGCGUAAUUUUUUUAGAAAGUUCUUAUUGAUAAAAAAGAUUGCGACCUCGAUGG
rnacentral:rRNA from 1 species